rnacentral:lncRNA from 1 species
CUUUGUGCUGGGAACCUCUCCUUUCUCAUAUGCACCCAAACCCAAUCUCCAGGCUGAAAAACCACUUGCUUACGUCCUUUGUUGGCUUGAGUAGCAUAUUGUUCAGUUCUCUUUUCUAUGUGUUGACGUGUUCUCUCAUGCAAUUGCUUGACAAAUUCAUCUUUCUUUUUACCAUCGAUACUAGCAUGCUCAUCAAUAGGUAAAGGUAAUAAAUCCAAAGGAGUUAAUGGAUUAAAA